UUUUAGAUAAAAUAAAAUAAACAAAUUAAAAUUUUUCUUUAUGGAUCGACCUCGGACUCACUGAGAUAUAUUAUAAAUAGACACUCUUAUACUUGAGAGUAAAUCAAAUACUUUUAAGUCAUGUCCAGUUUUUGACGCCGUUGCCAGGGAGAGGUAUUUAUUUUGUUUUAUUUUUCCUUUUAAGUUUUACGUUUUGUAUAAAUUUUCGUUUGCCCCCUUUUGCUUUUCUUAAAGUUUCUUAUACCCCCACAUCUUUCAUAAUUUUAGUUUCACCCCAACAAUUCUCGUUUCUUGCUCAUUCUUCUCAUAAUUAUGUUCUGACCCUAAAAUCUUUCCGAAUUUUUACUUUCAUCCCACAUGGCUCAAUUUUAAACUUAUGAAAAUUACGAUGUGGCCAUAAAAUUAUAAAUAAUUUGUAAUAAGAUCCCUAGACGAAAUUUCUCAUAAUAAUUAGACUUGGACUUAUUUGGACUUAAUUUGGACCAAGCAAACUAACUACUAAUUUUUUAACUAACUAACUACUAACUCUUAGCAAACUAACUACUAAUUUUUUAUUUCAGUUAUUUAAUUUUUAGUUUUUUUAUUUCGCAUUUUUUAUUUCUUUUUAUUGGUGGGUUCAACCACCAAAGUUUAUUUAAUUUUAAGUUAUUAAUUUUCUUUUGUACACUUAUAUUAUUUGCAUAUUUAAUUUUCAUUGUUUUUGUAAUUUUCAUUUAGUUUUUGUGUUACUAAUUUGUUUUUUAUCUUUGUGAUAUAAUUAUUGUAUGAGACGUUGGUCUCGCACUUCAAGUGGCAAGUUAAUUUAUAGAUCUCAAUCACCACCACCAAUCAUGGACGAAAUUCAAGACGAAAACAAUUUGGGCCAACUUAAUCCUCCAAUUGAUCAGGGAGACAACCAAUCUCAACAUGAUCAGAAUCAACCAAGAACUUUAAGAGACUACAUGAAUUCAACAAAAAUCGGAGCACCGUCGUGUAUAGUAUUUCCCGCAGAAGCAUCUCGAUUCAACUUCAAACUAGGUAUUAUCUAACUUUUACCAACAUUUCAUCGUUUAGAAUAUGAAAAUCCAUAUUUGCAUCUAAGAGAUUUCGAGAAAGUUUGUAAUACAUACACAGACCAAAAUUGUAGCAUGAACAUAAUUAGGCUAAAGCUUUUUCCUUUUUCAUUAAAAGAUAAAGUUAAAAUUUAGCUACAAAACCUUAUAUCUGGAUCAAUAAGAACUUGGAAUAACGUGCAAGAACAGUUUUUGAAAAAGUUCUUUCCACCUCAUAGACCAAUUCUUUUAAAAGGCAAAUCACUUCUUUCACUCAAAAAAAUGGAGAAACAUUAUACCAAUGUUGGGAUAAGUUUAAAGAAUUGCUUAACAUAUGUUCACACUAUGGUUUUGAAAUUUGGAGAUUGGUCACUUAUUUCUACGAGGGCUUAAUACUACAAACUAGACAAGUUGUAGAAAGAUGUGUAAUGGUGAAUUUAAAGAUAAAAAUCCUGAAGAUGCACUAGAUUACCUUGACCAAUUAGCUGAAAAUGCACAACAUUGGGAUACUGUUGGAACUUUUGAAUUGACUAAUAAACCACAACCAUCUCCAUCUAGUGGAGGAAUCUACAACCUUAGGGAAUAUCAUGAUUUACAAGCAAAAUUUGCAUCCCUAGUUAGGAAGGUUGAAGUUUUGGAAAAUAAAAAAAGUGAUCAAGUAAAAUCUGUUCAAGAAAUUGCAUGUGAUGUUUGUAGUUCUAAUGAUCAUUUCACUUAAGAUUGUCCCACUCUGCCUGCACUCAAAGAAUGUUUGCAUGAUCAAGCUAAUGUCAUCAACACUUUUAACAAGCCAAAUCCAUAUUCACAAACUUAUAAUCCUGGUUGGAGAAAUCAUCCAAAUUUUAGUUGGAGGAAUAAUAAUAAUGCACAAUCUUCAUAAGCACCACCUCCACAAAAUUUUCAAAAUACUCAGCCUUUUGUACCAUAUGUUCCACCACCAUGGAAAAAUUUGGAAGAUACAAUGCAUUCAUUCAUCAGGAAGCAACAUGCUAUUAACAAUCAAAAUGCACAAACCUUUUCUGAUUUAAAUGAUACUCUUGCAAAAAUUGCUUCUGCACUCACAAUUCAAGAAAAACGAAAAUUCUCAGCUCAAACACAACCAAAUCCUAAGAUUCAAAAUGCACCCAUGGACCAUGUUAAGUCAGUUAUAACUCUUCGUAAUGGUAAGGUUAUUGAUUAGCCUAUUCCUGAACUUUGUGAAAAUGAAAAUUCAAAGGGUAAGGAAGAACUAGAUAAACUUACACCUAGUGAAGAAAUAACUACUAUUCCAUCUGAACCACCAUUUCCGUAUGCAUUGAAUAAACCAAGGAAAUCAAACCACUCUUAUGAAAUUUAUGAAAUUUUUAAGCAAGUGAAAGUUAACAUUCAUUUGUUAGAUGCAAUCAAGCAGGUACCUUCAUAUGCUAAAUUUUUAAAGGACUUAUGCACUGUUAAGAGGAAAUUGAAGGUGAAAAAGAGUGUUUUCAUGCCUGAACAGGUACGUACCAUUCUGUCUACUAAUAAUAAGUUAAAAUAUAAAGAUGCUGGUUGUCCUACUAUUUCUUGUGUUAUUGGAGAUAACAAAAUUAAGCAUACUUUGUUAGACCUUGGUGCUAGUGUUAAUUUGCUUCCACAUUCAGUUUAUCUUCAACUUAAUCUUAGUGAGUUAAAAUCAACUUCAACUACACUUUUACUUGCCGAUAGAUCAGUUAAAAUACCAAAAGGAAUAGUGGAAGAUGUUUUAGUACAAGUUGAUAAAUUUAUAUACCAUGUGGAUUUUAUUGUUUUAGAAAUUGAACCUGUUGUGAAUAAUUAUAAACCAAUUCAUGUAAUUUUGGGUCAACCAUUUUUAGCAACUGCUAAUACUUUGAUUAAUUAUAGGAAUAGUUUAAUGAAUUUUUCAUUUGGAAAUAUGAUUCUGGAAUUAAAUGUUUUCAAUAUGUAUAGGCAAUCUAAUGAGAAAAAUGAGAAUGGAGAUGAAAUUGAUGAAUAAAAAGAAUUACUUGAAUCUUGUAUAGAGGAGAAUAUUUAAAAAGGGAGUUUUUCUGAACUUAGUGAUAUUUUUUUGGUUAAUUCAAUUGAAUCAAAUAAACAACUUGAAUAUGAUACUUCUAAUAUAAAUUUGUUGUUUGAUUUUUGUCAGACUUUGCAAAGUGAUGAUGGGAAACCAAAAUUUGAGGAGCUUGGAAUUAUUAAAAAGACUAAACAACAAGAAGCACCUAAACUAGAAUUGAAACAUUUGCCAGAGGGAUUGAAGUAUGCUUAUCUUGGAGAAGAACAAACUUAUCUUGUUGUGAUUUCUUUGACCUUAUCAAGCGACCAAGAAGGUAAGUUACUAUUUGUUCUUAAAAAGUAUAAAAACGCAAUUGGAUGGAUUUUAAAUGACAUUAAAGGUAUUAAUUUUUUAAUUUACACACAUAGAAUUAAUUUGGAAGAAAAUGCUAAAACAUGUCAAUAACCUCAAAGAAGAUUAAACCCACACAUGAAAGAAGUAGUAAAAACAGAAGUUCUUAAGUUACUUGAUGCGGGAAUUAUCUACCCUAUCUCUGAUAGUAAGUGGGUAAGUCCUACACAAGUAGUGCCUAAAAAAUCUAGAAUCACUGUUGUUAAAAUGAAAAAGCUAAAUUAAUUCCAACACGAAUUACAUCUAGUUAGCGCAUGUGCAUUGAUUAUAGGAAAUUAAAUGAAGCCACUAGAAAAGAUCAUUUUCCAUUACCAUUUCUUGACCAAAUCUUAGAAAGAGUAGCUGGACAUCCCUACUAUUUCUUUUUAGAUGGAUAUUCAGGUUAUUAUCAAAUUCCUAUAACACUUGAAGACCAAGAAAAAACCACAUUUAUAUGCCCCUUUGGAACAUUUGCAUUUAAAAGAAUGCCAUUUGGACUUUGUAAUGCUCCUGCAACAUUUCAAAGAUGUAUGCUAAGUAUUUUCACUAAUAUGAUUGAACAUUGUUUAGAGGUCUUUAUGGAUGAUUUGACAGUAUUUAGGAAUUCUUUUGAUGAUUGCCUUGAUAAAUUGGAAAAGUUUUAAAAAGAUGUGUUAAAAAAGAACUCGUUUUAAAUUGGAAAAAAUGUCAUUACAUGGUUAUUCUGGAAUUGUUUGGGUCAUGUUGUAUCUGUUAAAGGAAUUGAAGUUGACAAAGUAAAAAUUGAAGUCAUAUCUAAAAUGCCACAACCAAAAAUAUUUAGAGAUAUGCGAUCCUUUUUAGGGCAUGCAAGAUUUUAUAGGAGGUUUAUAAAAAAUUUUAGUGUCAUAUCUAAACCACUUUGUAACCUCUUAUUAAAAGAUACACCAUUUGAAUGGACUGAUGAUUGCCAAAAAUCUUUUGAGAAAAUAAUUUACCUUUUGACAUCUGCGCCUAUUAUGCAAUCUCCUGAUUGGUCUUUACCUUUUGAAUUAAUGUGUGAUGCAAGUGACUUUGCUAUUGGUGUUGUUUUAGGACAAAAAAAGGAUCGUGAGUCGUUUGUGAUUCAUUAUGCGAGUAAGACUUUGGAUAGUACUCAAAUGAAUUAUUCUACAACUGAAAAAGAAUUACUUGCUGUGGUGUAUGCAUUAAACAAAUUUCGCUCAUAUUUGCUUGGUUCUAAAAUUGUUGUUUUUACUGAUCACGCUAUUGUGAGAUAUUUGAUGACUAAACAGGAUUUCAAACCAAGACUAAUUCGUUGGAUUUUGUUACUUCAAGAAUUUGACCUCACCAUCAAAGAUAAAAAGGGUGUCGAAAAUGUCGUUACUGAUUAUUUAUCAAGACGCACAUCUGAAAUCUGCACUGACAUAACACCCAUCAAUGAUUCAUUUCCUGAUGAAUUUUUAUUAUUUGUUACUUCAAUACCAUGGUAUGCUAGCAUUGUUAAUUUCCUUGUUACAGGUAAAAUGCCUUCGCAAUGGAAUACUCAAGAGAAGAAGAAAUUUUUGGUUGAAGUAAAGAAAUUUUAUUGGGAUGAUCAUUACUUGUUCAAAUAUUGCCCUGAUCAGAUUUUUCGACGAUGCAUUCCUGAUAAUGAGGUAAGUAGUGUCAUUAAUUUUUGUCAUUCUGAAGCAUGCGGUGGACACUUUUCUUCAAGAAAAACUAUGGCUAAAAUUUUGCAAUGUGAAUUUUAUUGACCUACCAUAUUUAAAGACACCUAUGAAUUUGCAAAACUUGUGAAAACUAUAAAAAAAUUAGGAUCAAUUACUAAAAGAAACAGAUGCCUUUAAAUCCCAUACUUGAAAUUGAAAUAUUUGACUAUUGGGGAAUUGAUUUCAUGGGUCCAUUUCCACCAUCUUUUGGAUUUGUAUACAUAUUAGUGGUAGUUGAUUAUGUCUCAAAAUGAAUUGAAGCAAUGUCUUGUCGAAAUAAUGAUAGUAAAAUUGUCGUUAAAUUUUUAAGAGAAAACAUUCUAAGUCGAUUUGAAAUCCCUCGACCCAUUAUUAGUGAUGGAGGUAGGCAUUUUUGUAAUAAGUUAUUUGAGUCUUUAAUGAAAAAAUAUGGAAUUACAUAUAAAAUUGCUACCCCUUAUCAUCCUCAAACAAAUGAUCAAGGUGAAUUAGCAAAAUAGGGAGAUAAAACAAAUUUUAGAAAAAAUAGUUAACCCAAACUAGAAAGAUUGGUCUCUUCAAUUGACUGAUGUACUUUGGGUAUACUGUACUGCAUUUAAAACUUCUUUAUGAAUGUCACCCUAUCAGCUAGUUUACGGUAAACCUUGUCACUUACCUGUUGAACUUGAACAUAAAUCAUUUUGGGCUGUUAAAGCUUUUAAUUCAAAUUUGGAUGAUGUUGAUAAUGUGCGAAAAUUGCAAUUGAAUGAACUUGAGGAAUUAAGAAAUGAUGCUUAUGAAAAUUCAAAAAUUAUUAAGGCAAAAACAAAAAAAAAUUCAUGAUAAAAAAAUUUUUCGAAAAUCAUUUGAAAUUGGUCAAAAAAUAUUGCUUUAUAAUUCUCGUCUUCAUUUGUUUCCAGGAAAGUUAAAGUCAAAGUGGAGUGACCCAUUUAUUGUAAAAAAUGUAUAUCCACAUGGGGUUGUAGAAAUUGAGAAUCCAAAAAACAGUGUCACAUUUUAAGUUAACGGACAAAGAAUAAAGCCCUAUCUGGAAAACCAAUCACGUGAAUUAAGCACCGAAAUAAAUUUGAGUGGCCCAUAAAAUCCUGAUUAAGUUUUUAAUAAGUGUUUUAACUUUCACUGUUGUUUUACCAUUUAAAUUGUUUGAUUGUCUUGAAUGAUACGCGUUGUGAUGUUUCGUACUUAAGUGUGUUUAAUAAUUGUGUUUUCGUCAUCAUUAUACAUCAUGAGCACAUUAAUAAGGAAGAUUCUGUUCACACAUCUUAAAAGACUUUUAUGAGUGAGAUUUAAUCUAAGAAGAUUGAUACAAAGCUGUAAAUUACAUCCAAUUUGGGAACGACAACCACCAGAAUUAGUGGCCUACGUUGAGGAUCAAGAAGGACAACUCAGAGCAAUAGAGCAUGGUAUAUAUGAAUUUCAAUUAGAGCUUGAGGUUAACUCAAUAAGAGGAUGAAUGUAAAUUCAUUUUCCUUUGUACAUAUUGUGUUUCUAUUUUGUUGUUCGCUUUCACUUUUGAUUUGAUUUUGCAGAUUUGAUUUUAGUGUGUUUUGAUUUAUUUUUCUGUAUAAAUGACGGAUAACGGUACUCCAUGACUUCUUAAGUCGGUAUCUUCAGUUUCCCACAAUAACUGAAUCUCAUAAUCAAGCAUGGAAGAAAUACAACAUAAAUUGCAUAAGUGUUUUCCUUCUCUCCCUCAAAAUGCACCCAAAAAAAUUUGCAAAGUUCAUUGUGAAAGAUUACAUUUGUUAAUGAUCAAUGGGAUUCCUUCUGAUAUUCGUUGGUUAAUUGAAGCAAAGGUCUGAUUAGCUAGUAAGUUUUCUGAUCCAUUUAUUUCUUACAUGUCUGGUUUUGGUAAAAGUACAUUUGCUAAAAAACGGAGAGGUAGAAGACUUGGCUUAGAAUGUCAUAAUUGUGUACGACUUAGUUGCAAACUAGAGCUUAGAAUGUCAUAAUUGUGUACGACUUAGUUGCAAACUAGAAGUUUGUAAAUCUUUAGGAGUGAUUUCUAAUAAUCGAGAAGAUAAAAUUAAAUUUAUUAAAGAUGGCAUGAGUAAAAAAUUGUCGGAUGAUAUCUUACGAUCUCUUGAGAUGUAUCGAAGCGGACAUGUGCAAUAUGAGAUACACAAGUUAUGGAGACUAUUCCAAAAAGAAAGUGCACAACUUAGUCUUGGAAAUCUGACUCAAAAAUACCUUGUUUGCCAGUUUAUAAGAAAACUGGAUGGGAAACCUAUUCUCGACCCAUAGAGGAUGUUCAAACCGUUACUGGACGUAAAAUCAGAAGAAGAUGUGAGCCACAAUCACAACUACCAGUAAAUAUCCUUUUACUUUAUUGUUCUUUUAUCAUUUACAUUAUUGUAUUUAAUGGUGUGAUUUUGUAUUUAGAUUGAAGAAAAUGCAGUGACAAGCUUCUGUUUGUCCUUCCGAUUGUAAUAGUUUCAAGUUCGAAUAUUUCCAUUGCCUACAUCAAAUAAGAAAAUAAGACAAAAUAAUAGGGCAUUUAACAUUCCAAUUGACAACAAAUGAAAAGAGUGAAAAAUAAUAUUACAUGAAGCAACAAGCAGGAGGCUAGCAUCAAGUUCAUUCACAAGGCAGAGUUUGGAUAUUCCUUUAUUAGGAAAGUCGUGAUUAACAAAACUAUUGAGAAGGGUAGCUUCCUCAUAAUUCCAUAUCUUGCGAUUAAACAAAUAUUGAACAACUAAUGCAUUUGAGAGAGAUGAAAUUAUAAGAGACCAGAGGACCCAUCUCACUACAUCUAAUAAACAACAAAAUCAAAAUUUAUUGAACCAUCUCAUAGCAAAAAAACCCCAUGAGUGGCCAAAUUUGUACCCAAUUCUACACUCUACUAUGAAGCUGAAAUUACUUCAACAUAUAUCAGCUCAUAUGUUGGCAAUCAUAGUCAAAGAUGGUUAUCAAGCAUCCUCAGAAAUCGAGAAGCUAAUAAAAACCAGGUUGCACUACAUUAACAUAUAUCAGUUCUUUGAUAUAAAGAUAUUGAAUGUUAUACACUUCUAAUCCCAAGUCAUAAAACAUAAAACAAAAGUUCACUUCACACGCUCAUAAAGAUAAACUGCUAGACAAAUGGAGAAUAAGCAUCGAAUAUGAGUCAAUAAACUAUUAAGCUAAUUAAUGCACAGGAAGGACACUGGCAUAAUAAUAAUAAUAAUAAUAAAAACCCAUUCACAUUCUAAAAAAAAAACCCAUUCAAAUUCUAAUUCAAUAUAUCAACAAACCCAUUCGCAUUCUAAUUAAUAAAAACAACACCAGCCGCGGAGCAACUUCUCCAAUACAUUCAACAAACCUAUUUUCAUUUUAAUCCACAAACAACACCAGCAACAGAGCAGAUCCUUUGACAAACUAAUAAACCCAUAUUCAUUUUUAAAUAACAAAAUAAUGCCCAAUCACCGAUUUCUAAUAUGCAAAGAGUUUUUUCAAAGACUAACCUUGUACGCAAUUGAGUGACAGUCGCCUCUAAUGCCGACAGCAAGCAACACUCACUCGACGCCAUUAUCACCCUUGAUUCAUCACAUGUUCUUUUAUUAUCGGAUUCUACGAGCCAAAGUUGCAAGAUUGCGGUUGAUUUCUUUAUCUUCAAAGCAUUUAGAGAUGGAGUAUGUGCAUGUUUUGGUUAGAUGAAGAACACUUGUUUUUUGUGAUGGGUAGCUUCGAUAAAGGAAAAGAAACACCGUUAAAUCUACUGGAUUUAUUAUGUAGCAAUAAAUGCUUUUGAUAAUAACUUGUAGCUCCAGUUUUUUUUUUAAUUUAAAGUUUUUGGAAUAUAAAUGGGUAAUUGCCAAUUUACCCUCAUCCAUUAACAAUACAUGAAAUAAUAGGGGAGGAAAGUGGAGAUAUUGUGAUAUUUUCAUCAAAGUGGAGAUAAGACAAAUCUCAGGGGGAAAACUGAAAAUCAUCCUAAGUAACAGUAGUAUGUGCGUGUUUUGUCUUGCUAUGACAGUACUAAGGAUUAAGGAAGACAAGUUACUAUUUCUUACCUUUGUUUAAUACCAAUUAUUAUUAUUUGGUGAGACCAAUUAAUUGUUUAUACAUACUUAAAAAUUAAUUUUGUCUAACCUUUUAAUUACAUUUUAUUAUAAGUAAUUAUGUGUAAACUACAUCAGGAAAUAAAUUAAUUACUCAGUCAUAAAAAAUACAACGUUAUUUAAGACAAAACUUUUAGUUACUAUUUUUAGUUUUGUGACUAUAAUGACUACAUUUACGACUAAAAAAACAAAGUCUUAAAAUUAUAAGAAAUCAUAAUAGCUUUAGAGACUAAUAUUAUGUGUCAUUGAUUGUUUGCCUAAAUUUACACCUGUUUUUUAGUUACAAAAUAUUUUUGUCACCCAUAAUUAUAUUUCGUGACCAUUUAUUUUGUCAUGAAGGAUAAAAUAUUGUCUUAAAAUGUUCAAUUUUUUAAUGAGAUUUUUGUGUAAAAAAAUAAAUUUAUUUUUUCCGACUACAAUAAUAUUCGUCACAAGAACGUUGAAUCAGAUACCAAAUAGUGCGUCCGAGAAAAGAAAUAACUUGGUCACAAAAAUACAAUGUUAUUCAAGACAAAACCUUUAGCUACUACUUUUACUUUGGUCACUGUAAUUACUCAUCCAAGACCAAAAAAUGGCGUCUUAAAAUUAUAAGAAGUAAACAUAGCUUUAGAGACUAAUAUAUAUGUCACGGAUAGUUUAGUUAAAUUUGUACUUAACUUUUAGUUAUGAAAUAGUGUCAUCGCCUACACUAAUAUUUUGCAACCAUUUUGUUUUGUCAUAAAUGAUGAAAUAUUGUCCCAAAAUGUUUCGAAUUUGGAGGGAAAUUUUUAUGCCAAAAUAAUAUGUUUUUCAGUGACUAAAAAAAUAUUUGUCACAAAAAAGUUGAAUCGGAUACCAAAUAUUGUGUUCCAAAAUAAAAUUAUUGGUCACAAAAUAUAAAACAAGUCAGGACAAAAUUAUUAGAUACGAUUUCAUAAAUUUGUCACAGAUAAAUAUCAUUUUGUGACCAAAUUUCAAAGCGUUGAAAAAAAUAUCGUCUUAAAAAAUCAAAUUUCUUGUAGUGAGUGGAUAAAUUAGGCUUAUGUUUUAUUAGUGGGAUUAUUAGUGGGACAAAUGUAAGGUUAAGAUCUAAUUAGAUUUUUUUAUUUGUGUGGUGUGAAUUUACCAUGUAUUAGUAUAAAUAGAAGGGGGGGUGAACACACCUCUCNNNNNNNNNNNNNNNNNNNNNNNNNNNNNNNNNNNNNNNNNNNNNNNNNNNNNNNNNNNNNNNNNNNNNNNNNNNNNNNNNNNNNNNNNNNNNNNNNNNNUUUUUUUAUUUUGUGUGGGGUGGGAAUCUCCCAUGUAUUGAUUAUAAAUAAAAAGGGGGGGGUGAAACCCCCCCUCUCCCACCCAAUCUUUCUUUCUUUUUUUCCUUCCCGCCCCCCCCCCCCCCCCGGGCCCCCAAUUCUUCUUCUCAUCUAUCUUUGUAAUUUAUUUUCAAUCAAUAAAAUUAGUUUUAUUUCAAUUUUCAAAUUCCAUUUUUAAUUAUGUGCUUUUCAAUUUUAGUAAUUUCCUUUAUAAAAAAAUGUUUAGCUAAAUAUUAAUAGUUAGGGGAAGGUGAAACUCUUAGGAAAUAAAUAUGAUUUAAUCAAAUUCUAUUUUUAAUUUUAUAAAUUAAAUUAUUUUCUAUUUAAUUUUAUACAUAUUUUAUAUUAUGAAAUUUUGAUUUAUUGUAGACAAACAAGGGAGUUUGGCACAAUAAAUUCUUUUUAUCUUAAUAUAAGGUAUAGUAAAAUGGUAUUUUGACUUAUUGUAGACAAAUUUAAUUUUGGCACAAUGAAUACUUAAUCCAUCAUAAAAUUAAAGGGAAAAUAAUAAUAAUUUAUAUAAUUAAUCUUUUGGACAAUAAAUCUAAAAAAAUGGCGAAAAGAAUUUAUUAAAUUUUAUUUACUACUAAGAGUGAAUCCACAACCCUGACUAAUUCAAUUUCAUAGUUUUAUUUAAAUUAAGUUAUUUAUAUUUAAGUUUUAUUUUCAAAUUUUAGAUAAAAUAAAAUAAACAAAUUAAAUCUUUUCUCUGUGGAUCGACCUCGGACUCACUGAGAUAUAUUAUAAGUAGGCACUCUUAUAUUUGAGAGUAAAUCAAACACUUUUAAGUCGUGUCAUUUACCAAAGAGGAUUCUAUUAAUGAUUACUGCCUAUCUCUGCUUAGAAUUACAAGUAGAUAGCUCACUUACCCAAGAUCCUCACAUGGAUGCGCAACAGCUCAUCUAGAUCAGAUUUAUCACUACUUAAUGUUUUAUGUAGAUGAUUUAUCCUUUACCACUAUCUCUUGAGAAGUCAUAAGCAUAACUAACCUAUCCAAAAUUUGCACUAUGAUGUGAUUAUAUGACCUUUUUUUUUUCCUGUUGUAUAUCAUAUAAGUGUGAUCUUUUUAAUCUAUCUAGCAUGGAUGAUUCAUAUGGAUGGUUUAUCUUUUAUUGCCAUAGGAAUGAGUAGUUUGUCCUAAAAUAAUGAUCUAUUGCCACUAAAUAUUUAUCAUUUAUGAUAUUUUAAGAUGUUUGCUUUAGUUAAAUAUACUGUUAGAGAUUUACAUUAUGAUGACACCUGAAAAACAUAGGUGGAGUACCUAGCCUAUCUUGACCAAGGUGAUCUACUCUAAGUCAGAAAUCAAUAUAAAAACGGUACCUAACUUGGGCUGAGCGAAGCUGACAUACUCAUAUCAAGGACUAAAAGCAAAACACAAAACGAAUAAUGCAUUUUAGUAGAGACUUGAGAGUGCAAAGAUCCAAUAAAGGGAAGGUUGUUAGAGAAGGCCCAACAGAAUAAAAUCGUUAUUGAAUGAUAGUGAAGUAUAAUUACCAAACUUUAAAAUAGUUGGCCAGCUUAGAACAUACAUAAGUUUACCACAAGAGUUGGUUAGAAAAGAACAGACACAAGUUAGUCAAGAGAGUUAGUUAGUUGAGAACACAUAGAGGUUGGCCAUAAGAGUUGAUCAAUUAAAAAGAAUAGAUGAUUAAAAGCCCAUUCGAUUUCACACUUGAUGAGGGGAAAUUAACAUUAAGCUUGAGGGUAGCAUAAAACCAAGCAUUCAUACACGAUUAGGGAUGGCAAACAUAGGGCCUGGGCCGGGCUUUUUCACGCCCAUGUCCAGGCCCUCUGUCAGCUAGGGGUACGGGCUGGGCCGUGUCGGGCGCAUUGCGGGCCUGGGCCGGGCUUGGGCUUUAUUUAUUUUAA
rnacentral:lncRNA from 1 species